AACUUGAGAGUUUGAUCCUGGCUCAGAACGAACGCUGGCGGCAGGCUUAACACAUGCAAGUCGAACGUCCCGCAAGGGACGUGGCAGACGGGUGCAAAACGCGUGGGAAUCUACCCUGUACUUCGGGAUAACUCAGGGAAACUUGAGAUAAUACCGGAUACGCUCUACGGAGGAAAGUUUUUCGGUAUAGGAGGAGCCCGCGUCUGAUUAGCUAGUUGGUGAGGUAACGGCUCACCAAGGCGACGAUCAGUAGCUGGUCUUAGAGGACGAUCAGCCACACUGGAACUGAGACACGGUCCAGACUCCUACGGGAGGCAGCAGUGGGGAAUAUUGGACAAUGGGGGCAACCCUGAUCCAGCCAUGCCGCGUGAGUGAUGAAGGCCUUCGGGUUGUAAAGCUCUUUUAGCAGGGACGAUGAUGACGGUACCUGCAGAAUAAGCCACGGCUAACUUCGUGCCAGCAGCCGCGGUAAUACGAAGGUGGCUAGCGUUGUUCGGAUUUACUGGGCGUAAAGGGAGCGUAGGCGGUUUUUCAAGUCAGGCGUGAAAGCCCGAGGCUUAACCUCGGAAUUGCGCUUGAAACUGUUGAACUGGAGUAUGGGAGAGGAUAGCGGAAUUCCUAGUGUAGAGGUGAAAUUCGUAGAUAUUAGGAAGAACACCGGUGGCGAAGGCGGCUAUCUGGACCAUUACUGACGCUGAAGCUCGAAAGCAUGGGGAUCAAACAGGAUUAGAUACCCUGGUAGUCCAUGCCUUAAACGAUGAAUGCUAGGUGUUGGGGAUUUACUCCUCAGUACCGCCGCUAACGCAUUAAGCAUUCCGCCUGGGGAGUACGGUCGCAAGAUUAAAACUCAAAGGAAUUGACGGGGGCCCGCACAAGCGGUGGAGUAUGUGGUUUAAUUCGACGCAACGCGAAGAACCUUACCAGGGUUUGACAUGCGGAGUAUGGUCUGUGGAAACAUGGACCUUCGGUUCGGCCGGCUCCUGCACAGGUGCUGCAUGGCUGUCGUCAGCUCGUGUCGUGAGAUGUUGGGUUAAGUCCCGCAACGAGCGCAACCCUCAUCCUUAGUUGCCAUCAGGUAAUGCUGGGCACUCUAAGGAAACCGCCGGUGACAAGCCGGAGGAAGGUGGGGAUGACGUCAAGUCCUCAUGGCCUUUAUACCCUGGGCUACACACGUACUACAAUGGCGAUGACAGAGGGAAGCAAGACCGCAAGGUGGAGCAAAUCCCUAAAAGUCGUCUCAGUUCAGAUUGUUGUCUGCAACUCGACAGCAUGAAGUUGGAAUCGCUAGUAAUCGCGGAUCAGCAUGCCGCGGUGAAUACGUUCCCGGGCCUUGUACACACCGCCCGUCACACCAUGGGAGCUGGUUCUACCUUAAGACGUUUCGCUAACCGCAAGGGGGCAGACGGCCACGGUAGGGCUAGUGACUGGGGUGAAGUCGUAACAAGGUAGCCGUAGGGGAACCUGCGGCUGGAUCACCUCCUUUCUAAGG
rnacentral:rRNA from 1 species